UUAAAGUUCUUCUCAGUUGUUAUUGAAAUUGCUUCUGCAUAGGAUAAUCUUCUUUAUUCAUUUGUGUUUGUGUAAACUCCCUGAUGAUCAGGUAGCCUUUUGGGAUCAGAUUCACCCAGAGAUGAUGAGUAAGAAACUAAAACCCACAAACUGAGUUACACUCUCAGCCACUUUAGCUCUGAGACCUUCUCAGCUCUUCUCCUUCUGUGGCAUAAACCUGAUGUAUCUGCAUUGGAGACGGACCUCCAGAAAAAUAUAGAAAACGUUCUCAGGCAGGUGAUUUGUCAGCCGUAAUGCUGAACUGUAACAAGGGGUUGUGAAACUGGAAAGAACUUUGAGCGUAAGAAUUUGCAUGUUUUUUGUUUUUUUUUAGUGCAUGUUGGAAAUGAUUUAUCAUAUCGUCCUCAAGUUAAUUUUGAGCAUUUGUCUGUCUUGGAUGCAUCUUGUCGUUAUAUUAUAGUAGAUAUCCGUUAACAAGCUGUAUAUCCUUUACAUGUGUCCUUCUUCUCCAUUGCAUUAUCAGUUUAUAGUUUGUAUCUAUAGAUCCAUGCUCAAGUCUUCCCUUUGAUAGUUUUGAACUAAACACAAC
ensembl:lncRNA